CCCCCCCCCGAGGGGACACGGGUGGUCCCGGUGCCCCCCGAAGACCUGCUGCGCGUGGACAGGCUGGACUGUUCCAACACGUGGUGCGAGGAGCUGAGCUGCGCCCUGGGGGGGCUGGAGCGCGGCGGGGGGGUCUCGGUCCGGCUCCUCCGCACCCUCCACAGCGGCUUCUUCAGCGGGGCCAAAUUCCGGAGCGUGCGGAUCGUGGGCAGUGCCUGGCUGGGGGUGCAGG